rnacentral:rRNA from 1 species
AGCAGCCGCGGUAAUUCCAGCUCCAAUAGCGUAUAUUAAAGUUGUUGCAGUUAAAAAGCUCGUAGUUGAAUUUCGGAAUUCAUCCGUCGGUCGGGCUUAACUGUCCGUACUGGUGUGAUGGGUUCCUACCUUCUGAAUAACCAGCAUGCCAUUAAUUUGGUGCGCCGGGGAAGCAGGACUGUUACCUUGAAAAAAUUAGAGUGCUUAAAGCAGGCUAUCGCCUGAAUACAUUAGCAUGGAAUAAUGAAAUAGGACGGCAUGGUUCUAUUUUGUUGGUUUCUAGGAUCACCGUAAUGAUUAAUAGGGAUAGUUGGGGGCAUUAGUAUUCAAUUGUCAGAGGUGAAAUUCUUGGAUUUAUUGAAGACUAACUUCUGCGAAAGCAUUUGCCAAGGAUGUUUUCAUUAAUCAAGAACGAAAGUUAGGGGAUCGAAGACGAUCAGAUACCGUCGU